UGGGGAAUUUUGGACAAUGGGCGAAAGCCUGAUCCAGCAAUGCCGCGUGUGUGAAGAAGGCCUUCGGGUUGUAAAGCACUUUUGUCCGGAAAGAAAUCCUUGGCUCUAAUACAGUCGGGGGAUGACGGUACCGGAAGAAUAAGCACCGGCUAACUACGUGCCAGCAGCCGCGGUAAUACGCAGGGUGCAAGCGUUAAUCGGAAUUACUGGGCGUAAAGCGUGCGCAGGCGGUUUGCUAAGACCGAUGUGAAAUCCCCGGGCUCAACCUGGGAACUGCAUUGGUGACUGGCAGGCUAGAGUAUGGCAGAGGGGGGUAGAAUUCCACGUGUAGCAGUGAAAUGCGUAGAGAUGUGGAGGAAUACCGAUGGCGAAGGCAGCCCCCUGGGCCAAUACUGACGCUCAUGCACGAAAGCGUGGGGAGCAAACAGGAUUAGAUACCCUGGUAGUCCACGCCCUAAACGAUGUCAACUAGUUGUUGGGGAUUCAUUUCCUUAGUAACGUAGCUAACGCGUGAAGUUGACCGCCUGGGGAGUACGGUCGCAAGAUUAAAACUUAAAUGAAUUGACGGGGUCAUAGCUG
rnacentral:rRNA from 1 species